UGAGCAACCUGCCCUUCUCAUCGGAAUAAGCGUUGGAAACGACGUCUAAUGCCGAAUACGACUUCGGAAGGCAUCUUCUGAAGUGGAAAGCUCCGGCGGUGAAGGAUGAGCUCGCGGCCUAUCAGCUUGUUGGUGAGGUAAUGGCCCACCAAGGCGACGAUCAGUAGCUGGUCUGAGAGGAUGACCAGCCACACUGGGACUGAGACACGGCCCAGACUCCG
rnacentral:rRNA from 1 species